rnacentral:rRNA from 1 species
CCUACGGGAGGCAGCAGUGAGGAAUAUUGGUCAAUGGACGAGAGUCUGAACCAGCCAAGUAGCGUGAAGGAUGACUGCCCUAUGGGUUGUAAACUUCUUUUAUAUGGGAAUAAAAUGUUCCACGUGUGGGAUUUUGUAUGUACCAUAUGAAUAAGGAUCGGCUAACUCCGUGCCAGCAGCCGCGGUAAUACGGAGGAUCCGAGCGUUAUCCGGAUUUAUUGGGUUUAAAGGGAGCGUAGGUGGAUUGUUAAGUCAGUUGUGAAAGUUUGCGGCUCAACCGUAAAAUUGCAGUUGAAAAUGGCAGUCUUGAGUACAGUAGAGGUGGGCGGAAUUCGUGGUGUAGCGGUGAAAUGCUUAGAUAGCACGAAGAACUCCGAUUGCGAAGGCAGUUCACUGGACUGAAACUGACACUGAGGCUCGAAAGUGUGGGUAUCAAACAGGAUUAGAUACCCCUGUAGUC